AUAAAUAUUUUUAAGUUUAGAAAUUUAGCCACGGGACCCCCAACUGCAUGUAAGAAUAACCUGGAGACUCUGACAGGACAGGUCAGCAUAAUACCUGUAGCUACCACUCAACUUUCCUAUAAUU
ensembl:snoRNA